GGUUAGCACAUUCUUUUAGAAAAUGAAGCAGAUGCUUUUUGGUGCUUUCAACGAGCUAUGCGGAAAUUGAGAGAGAAUUUCAGGUCUGAUGCGAACUCUAUGGGAGUGCAAACUCAGUUGCGUGCCCUUUCAGGAAUUGUUAGAGUUAUUGAUCCAAAGCUUCAUCAACACCUUGGUUGGAAAAUCAUGGAUUGGACCCAAAUGCUGAAAUUGUUCCCAAGGGACCAAUAACUGGGAAAAUCGAUCCACGGGCAAUGCAUGGAACUCCUUAGCAUUGUCUCCAAAAAGUGAUGGUGGCAGUGGUACUCGACCAUCAACUGCAGCUAGCGAUAGAGGGCAUGAACCUGUUCCAAGUUCAUGGGGUUCAAAUUCUAGGCCAUCAUCAGCCUCUAGAGCAUUGUCAUCAAACCAAUCAGCAUUGACAUCAUUACGUCCUCACAAUGCAGAAACAAGGCCUGGAAGUAGCUCACAAAUAGUAAUGUUAGGAUAUCAUAUGUUCUUACACAAAUAGGAAAAUGCAUUUUCUCUUGCAAUUGCAAUCUGAUGCAUUAUGGCAAUUAUUAUAACUUCAAGUAUGCUAAUUACCAUACCUAUGUUAAUUACCAUACCUGAAGAAUGAUAAAAAAU